rnacentral:rRNA from 1 species
GACAACCCGAGAGAUCGGGCGUUCCCCCUUCGGGGGGACAGGGUGACAGGUGGUGCAUGGUUGUCGUCAGCUCGUGUCGUGAGAUGUUGGGUUAAGUCCCGCAACGAGCGCAACCCUCGACCUUAGUUGCCAGCAUUCAGUUGGGCACUCUAAGGUGACUGCCGGCUAAAAGUCGGAGGAAGGUGGGGAUGACGUCAAAUCAUCAUGCCCCUUAUGACCUGGGCUACACACGUGCUACAAUGGGCGGUACAAAGGGUCGCGAACCCGCGAGGGGGAGCCAAUCCCAAAAAGCCGCUCUCAGUUCGGAUUGCAGGCUGCAACUCGCCUGCAUGAAGCCGGAAUCGCUAGUAAUCGCGGAUCAGCAUGCCGCGGUGAAUACGUUCCCGGGCCUU